rnacentral:lncRNA from 1 species
UUAUCUAAUUGGUUCCCCCCCAAAGCAGAGGUGCGGCAACAGUUCACGAGAAUGAACCUCGUUUACCCCUUUCUGAAAAUAGAUGCAGCAAUGGCGGCAAACGCUUUACAGUUCUGUCCAACAAUCUUGGAGCAGGGGACGCCAUGUUUCGGCGUCGACAAUUGAUGGAGGAUAAGGCGGGCCUCGGCAGUGGAGAUCCCUGAUCGAGGAGAAGAAUAGCAGGGAGCCACGAACGAAGGAGCCUUGGCGAUGAGAGAGGGGACGAAUGCCGGUGCUCCGUUCAGGAAGAGAGAGAUGGUGGAGGAUUACGGCGUCGGACUUUCGACGUCCGAUGAAGGGGGAGAUGUGACAAUCAGGAAGACCACAGAAGGGAAAUUCGUCGAGAAGGAGCUCGGCGUCGGGAGCUACGACGUUUGCUCUUGGAGUCCGAACCAAGUAAGAGAAAACCGGUUAGUGUCGGGAACCAUCUCCGGCUAGUGGCGGUGGGUUCCGAGAGUUAUCGGCGAAACCUGGAGCGUUCCAAGAAUCAUGGUGUUUUCGGCGUUGUCCUCUGCACCGUGGGAACCAAUUGGAGAAGAUAGCCUUUUUCUUAUUAAGAUAAGUGUAGUGACCAUUUUGUAAUUUCUGUAAAUUUGAGGUUAACGAAUCUGCAAAGGAAGGGACUUGGAGGAUUAAAUCUGGAAUGUUGCCAGCUAAGCAAUGAAAGGACAGUUUCGUCCCUGGAAGUUUCUACGAGUUGCAAAGAAGUAAAAAGAGCAUAACUCGACCGUUUGAACUCCUAACGACACAUCGUCAGAAGUUAUGGUUUCAUGGAAGCAAAAGGAAUCACCUUGGAUACAUUUCUGAGAUGUCAUAUCGUCAUCGCGGUUGGUUGGUUUAAAGGGGAUAAAUUCUUUGUGUUGCGAUAGCUAGGUAAUUACAUGAUAUGUUCUAUGUGAUGCGUUAAAUUGAACUACAUGAUUUGUAUGUUAAUUAUGUGUUGCUAUGUUAUUUUACAAAGUGAUGUGCCCUUAAAAUAACACUACUUAAUGAUAUGAAUGAUAAGAUGAUGAA